rnacentral:rRNA from 1 species
AGUGAACGCUGGCGGUAGGCCUAACACAUGCAAGUCGAACGGCAGCACAGUAAGAGCUUGCUCUUACGGGUGGCGAGUGGCGGACGGGUGAGGAAUACAUCGGAAUCUACUUUUUCGUGGGGGAUAACGUAGGGAAACUUACGCUAAUACCGCAUACGACCUACGGGUGAAAGCAGGGGAUCUUCGGACCUUGCGCGAUUGAAUGAGCCGAUGUCGGAUUAGCUGGUUGGCGGGGUAAAGGCCCACCAAGGCGACGAUCCGUAGCUGGUCUGAGAGGAUGAUCAGCCACACUGGAACUGAGACACGGUCCAGACUCCUACGGGAGGCAGCAGUGGGGAAUAUUGGACAAUGGGGGCAAGCCUGAUCCAGCCAUACCGCGUGGGUGAAGAAGGCCUUCGGGUUGUAAAGCCCUUUUGUUGGGAAAGAAAAGCAGCAGGUUAAUACCCCGCUGUUCUGACGGUACCCAAAGAAUAAGCACCGGCUAACUUCGUG